rnacentral:lncRNA from 1 species
GAUCAUGACCUGAGCAGAAGGCAGAGGCUUAACCCACUGAGCCACCCAGGUGCCCCACCCUACCACUUAGAAACAAAAGUCUGCCCAUACUUUUAUGUGCACCUCGUCAAAGGCUGGAUCGUAGUCCUGUGGAUUCUCACUGCAUUUAACCAAACUGUGUUCCUCCGAGAGCUGGAAGCUCAUCUCUGCUUCUCCCACAUAUUCCAAGGUGGUCUGAGGAAGAGUGCAUGCUGUGUGGUCAGUGACCAAGAACAAGUUCCUGUCACCGAGGUCCACAGGCUGGAAAGCCAAUGCCGCGGCUCAUUCUGCUGGAAGAGUCCUCUUAUUGUCUCACCUUCUUUAGAGCUGAACCACCCAGCUUUAACAUUUGCAGCCAUAACUUCCUCCAUCUGUAGAGAGGGCAUCAUCUAAAAUAUCAAUUUUCAAGCACAUGGACUGAGUUUCAAGCUAAUGCUCCAUUGCUCAACAAUUUGGCCUCUCCCAGUAGCCAGAAGAACCCUUUCUAAAAGAGGUAGACAGCAAAAAGUAUUGUGGAAGAAUUGAGGCCCAACGAUGUUGGGUGAAAAUGUAAGCUGAUGUGAACUUUGGCAAGUCUAUGAGCAGCACAUCUGAGAACAAUUACAAUUCCCUGCGAUCUCAAGGUCUUCAUCUAUAAAAUGUGAUAGUUUUGAAUAAUUAUGUUCUUGCUCUAUGAAAUUAUGGUUCUAUUUGCGAUUCCCCCAACCUCUAAAUAUCCUGGCUGGACUUGGGAAAAUAACCCUACCUUUCAUUGUUUGGAAUAUGUUUCCUGAUG